CAAGUCUUGACAUCCCUCUGAAACCUCUAGAGAUAGAGGCGGCCUUCGGGACAGAGGUGACAGGUGGUGCAUGGUUGUCGUCAGCUCGUGUCGUGAGAUGUUGGGUUAAGUCCCGCAACGAGCGCAACCCUUGAUUUUAGUUGCCAGCAGGUAAGGCUGGGCACUCUAGAAUGACUGCCGGUGACAAACCGGAGGAAGGCGGGGAUGACGUCAAAUCAUCAUGCCCCUUAUGGCUUGGGCUACACACGUACUACAAUGGCUGGUACAACGGGAAGCGAAGCCGCGAGGUGGAGCCAAUCCUAUAAAAGCCAGUCUCAGUUCGGAUUGCAGGCUGCAACUCGCCUGCAUGAAGUCGGAAUUGCUAGUAAUCGCGGAUCAGCAUGCCGCGGCGAAUACGUUCCC
rnacentral:rRNA from 1 species